rnacentral:rRNA from 1 species
UACGUAGGGGGCAAGCGUUGUCCGGAAUUAUUGGGCGUAAAGGGCGCGUAGGCGGCCUGCUAAGUCGAACGUGAAAUCCCUGGGCUCAACCCAGGAACUGCGUCCGAUACUGGUUGGCUUGAAUCCGGGAGAGGGAUGUGGAAUUCCAGGUGUAGCGGUGAAAUGCGUAGAUAUCUGGAGGAACACCGGUGGCGAAGGCGACAUCCUGGACCGGUAUUGACGCUGAGGCGCGAAAGCCAGGGGAGCAAACGGG